rnacentral:rRNA from 1 species
CGGGUGAGUAACACGUAUGCAAUCCACCUGUAACAGGGGGAUAACCCGGAGAAAUCCGGACUAAUGCCCCAUAAUAUGGGCGCUCCGCAUGGAGAGCCCAUUAAAGAGAGCAAUUUUGGUUACAGACGAGCAUGCGCUCCAUUAGCCAGUUGGCGGGGUAACGGCCCACCAAAGCGACGAUGGAUAGGGGUUCUGAGAGGAAGGUCCCCCACACUGGAACUGAGACACGGUCCAG